AGGAAAGUAGCUCAGUGGUAGAGCACCUACCUAGCAUGUGCAAGGCCCUGGGUGUGAUCCCCAGCAUUCUUA
rnacentral:tRNA from 1 species